CCGCCCUCACCUCGAGCUGGCGCUGCCUCCCCGCGCUGCCGGCGCUGCCGCCUUGCCUCGCCCGCCGCUCGGCCGCCCGUCCCCGUGGUGCCGGGCCCCGCCGAGGGGCAGUCGGACAGCCCUCGCCCUCACCCCCCGACGCGGGGAAGCGGACAGCGGGAGGAGAGCAUCGCUCGGCGCGCCGCGGCUGGAGGUCUCCGGGGAUGGACCGCGCUUCGCCCCCCGCCUCCGCCUGCCCGCCGAGAGGAGGGCGGUGACCGAGCGACGAGGAACAGAAGCACCCGCCCGCGCCGCGGGGUCGGAGCGACCCUUCUGCCGCCCGGUUAAAUGUUACGGCUCUCUCCGGCUGCUCCCCGCCGCCGCCGCCCCGCGCGUCGCUCACCUCGGGAGGGGGCAGAAAAGGCGGGCGACAGAACCCGCCCCGGCUGCGGCGCGCCGAGAGGGAGCGCCCGGCUCCGCCGCCAGUAAGCGAGCAGCAGAGCUGGAAGCCUUGGCAGUAAGUUCUUUGUCUUUCCUGCUUGUAUCCAUGGAUCCUGGAUUUUGCAAGCUGUAUUAG
rnacentral:lncRNA from 1 species